CAGCCUCUGGGAGCUCGCAGUGGUAAUACAUCAUCUAUAUUUUAAAGCUUUUGGUGGAGAGAAGGCGGGGGAACCUCCAUCUUAAGGUUUUAGCCCCAUCCGUCUCUACAGAGAGAUCAGGCGUUAUCCUGGAUAUAAAUCAGGGGAGCUGCUAUGGGAAGCGUGCGCGAGAGAAAGCCCUUUCACCUACAUUCAGCUCAGCUUGCUUAAUGUGGCUGUGCAGCAUGGGGCGGUGCAGGGCCGUGAUCGCUGUGAUGUUUGAGUGCUUCCUAAAACGCUUACCACUAGUCCAUCUGUGCGGGCUGCUUAUUCAACACUACACAUGCAUUCCUGUUUAGUUGAGCCCUGCCUCAAAAUAACCAAAAUGGUUUGAAACAUAGUUGCCAUUGCUCUGCUUACGACAGUCUGAUUAUUGUCUAAUAAUGUGUUUAAUGAGUCAACCUAUUUAUACUUUAAUGUUUGAGUCAUAACAUUAUCAUAUGCUUUAACAGUGUAGUUGCAGCUCUCCCGAAUGUUAUGCAUUGGCUAGUCUCCUAAAUUAUGUACCAAAAUAAACCGUUGC